rnacentral:rRNA from 1 species
CCCUUAGAUGUCCUGGGCCGCACGCGCGUUACACUGAUGCAUUCAACGAGCUUAUAACCUUGGCCGAGAGGCCUGGGCAAUCUUGUUAACGUGCAUCGUGAUAGGGAUAGAUUAUUGAAAUUAUUAAUCUUGAACGAGGAAUUCCUAGUAAACGCAGAUCAUCAAUCUGCAUUGAUUACGUCCCUGCCCUUUGUACAUACCGCCCGUCGCACCUACCGAUUGGAUGGUCCGGUGAAGCCUCGGGAUUGUGGUUCUUGCCGCUUUAUUGUGGCGUGACCGCGAGAACUUGUCUAAACCUUAUCAUCUAGAGGAAGGUGAANUCGUAACA